rnacentral:rRNA from 1 species
UACGUAGGGAGCGAGCGUUGUCCGGAAUUACUGGGUGUAAAGGGAGCGUAGGCGGGAUGGUAAGUAAAAUGUUAAAACGAUCGGCUUAACCGGUCAGUGCGUUUUAAACUGCCGUUCUUGAGUGAAGUAGAGGCAGGCGGAAUUCCUAGUGUAGCGGUGAAAUGCGCAGAUAUUAGGAGGAACACCAGUGGCGAAGGCGGCCUGCUGGGCUUUAACUGACGCUGAGGCUCGAAAGCGUGGGGAGCAAA